CCCUGCCUUUUGUACACACCGCCCGUCGCUACUACCGAUUGAACGGCUUAGUGAGUUUUAUGGACCGGCGCUGUUGUUGGGUUUCCCUUCAAUACGUGCUGCGGAAGUAAAUCAAACUUGAUCGUUUA
rnacentral:rRNA from 1 species